rnacentral:lncRNA from 1 species
GUUAUCGACUCGCCUCCCUUUGGUCUGUUUCAGAAUGGAAGCCCAGAGUGAACUGGGGACGCACAUUCACUGCUGUGUUGCAGCGCUUGCUGCUCAGGCAACCUUUUUGGAACAACCCAAGAGUUUUCGCCCUUCCCAGUGGAUAAAAGGACACAGUGAAAGACAGUCUCUGAACAGAAAUGGCCUCCGUCGCCAGAACCUUACCAGGGAUUACCACACUCGACAAAUGAAGCACAGUGGCUGGGUGGUUCACCAGCCCUGCCCACGCCAGUACAAUUACUGAGAAGGCUGAGUUAUGUUGGUUGGCUUCCUUAGGUUUUGUGCAUAUGUAUUGGAUGUAUGUGCAUACAAUCAAAGUGCUGCCUCUUUCCAGCCAACUGAAGACCAAUCGCUUAGUGUAUCGGUGUGUUUAGACACUAUCACAACCAGAUUUUUGUGCUGUGUAUCACAAAAUGCCUUGCUCCUGACAAUUACUUUUAAAAAACCUUUUCAGAAUAUUUUUGGAAACAUAUCAAUACAGUGACAGUGUUUGGGGUUGUCUUUAAGUACAAUAAGGUAUAUAUAUAUAUGAGUUAGCAUCUUAAGGACAUUUCUCACCCCAAGUAUAAGAAUAGGCAUCUUCUCAAUUUCCUUUAUUUUGUAUUAUUUAAUCUUUUGUGUAAGCAAAAAUUUAUUCUCAGGGUCAGCCAUAUACUUUAUUGACCAGUACUUGUUAGUCUUUUCUGUAUAUAAUGAGUACAUUUUUACACUAACACGAGCAUUAACAGGUGAUUUUUUUUUUUUUGCCAUGGAUAUAAUGGAAUUAAUGGCUGAACUUACCUUUGAAAGAAAACUUGACAUAUUUCUGUAUGUAUGGUUCCUCCCCCCCCCCCCAGAUUAAGUCAUUGCAGUUCAUUGUGGAAUUCAGGUACAUUAACUUUGGUGAACAACAUUAUUCAGUAAUUCUGAUGUGACUCCAUGAUAUGGUACAAAUACUACAGAUGUUGUGGAGUAAAGCACUUGUUUCAUAUGCAAAGGGGAAAAUCAGACCCAGGAGAUAGUGUUUGGAAUCUGUUUGUAGAUAAUGAGAAGAGCAGUCAGUAUUUGGAGAUGUCUAGAGUUUUAACUGCCAGCUUAGUUGAAAAUGCACAAGUGUGUGCCCAAGCACUCAGUGACUAGAUGCUCAUGUCUGCCACAAGACAGGGAGGGACACAGUGAUAACUCCUCAGACAUGGACUCUGUCCUCCCAAGGGAUUUCUGGUGGCAUCUGUUUAUAGCACCCAAGUGAAGACUGAUGGGUUCAUUUCUACAAGCUUUCAUUUUUCAACUUCACAAUAUCUUUAACCACUUUGGCCUCUGUUUCCUCCACAGCAGGGGAGUAAUAAUACUUACCUCCCUCACAGAGUUGUGAGGAUUAUAUACUGAUGGGAGGUGGGGCUGUCAGAACUGAACUCUGUGAACUUCCAGGGUCUUUCUACUGAACCUAGUUGUGGGAAGCCUGACAGUUUCCUGCCAUGAUUAUUCUUCAGGGUUGGUGCUAAUGAGGCUAGAGUGCAGGGCUCCACUCAUAUAUACCAGUUAACGGCAUGUAGAGGAAAGUCCAUUUUCUUAACCUCUAUCUGGUCAGUUCUUUUUAAAAGCAGUUUUGGUGGAUUUUGAUGAGCCAGCUAUAAUUUCUGGAAAAUUAAACUCAUAUACAGCUUGAAGCGCAUUCUACUGAGGACAGUACCAUUGCCUAUAUAUUCAAACUGCUCAUUUCCCUAGCCCCUCUGCAACCAUAACUAAACAUUUGUUUAUUAAAUAAUUUCAAGGAAAAAAGAUACUGUUAUGUGAAGGAUUAUCCUUGAAGCAGCUUGAUGCAGGGAGCCCUGAGAGACUUUCAGGAAGGAACAGUGCUCCCCUCUGACAAGGCUGGCGUUUAGAGCUGCAGUUAGAUGUUGAAGGGUAUUCUGAACAAACACUGGCUGUGAUUAGGUGCCCGGAUGUCUCUUUAGAACAAGGAUCUAGAUUUCUUCUUCCUUAAUCCUUUUCCAUACUGACUCCCCCUUUUAUUUAUUGGUUUUCUAAUUAAGGGCCAAGUCGGUAAAGUUUGUUAAACUGAGAAGUUGUUUCUAUCUGUUCUCAUGGAGGUGUGCACAUUUUAUACUACAGCUGUUAUAGGGUCAUAUGUUGGUAACUUGAAGUGGA